AUUGAACGCUGGCGGUAGGCUUAACACAUGCAAGUCGUGCGAGAAAGUAUCUUCGGAUAUGAGUAGAGCGGCGGACGGGUGAGUAACGCGUAGGAAUCUACCUAGUAGAAGGGGAUAGCCCGGGGAAACUCGGAUUAAUACCGUAUACCUCCUUCGGGAGAAAGAAGGCCUCUCUUUGAAGCUUUCGCUAUUAGAUGAGCCUGCGUAAGAUUAGCUUGUUGGUGAGGUAAAGGCUCACCAAGGCGACGAUCUUUAGCGGGUCUGAGAGGACGAUCCGCCACAUUGGGACUGAGACACGGCCCAGACUCCUACGGGAGGCAGCAGUGGGGAAUAUUGGACAAUGGGCGCAAGCCUGAUCCAGCCAUACCGCGUGUGUGAAGAAGGCCCUAGGGUUGUAAAGCACUUUAAGUUGGGAAGAAAAGUUAUUGGUUAAUACCCAAUAACCGUGACAUUACCAUCAGAAUAAGGACCGGCUAAUUCCGUGCCAGCAGCCGCGGUAAUACGGAAGGUCCAAGCGUUAAUCGGAAUUACUGGGCGUAAAGCGCGCGUAGGUGGUUUAUUAAGUUGGAUGUGAAAUCCCCGGGCUCAACCUGGGAACUGCAUCCAAAACUGAUUCACUAGAGUACGAUAGAGGGAGGUAGAAUUCACAGUGUAGCGGUGGAAUGCGUAGAUAUUGUGAAGAAUACCAAUGGCGAAGGCAGCCUCCUGGAUCUGUACUGACACUGAGGUGCGAAAGCGUGGGUAGCGAACAGGAAUAGAUACCCUGGUAGUCCACGCCGUAAACGAUGUCCACUAGCUGUUGGAGAACUAUGUUCUUCAGUGGCGCAGCUAACGUAGUAAGUUGACCGCCUGGGGAGUACGGCCGCAAGGCUA
rnacentral:rRNA from 1 species